GCGCGCCCUAAGAAGCGAACUCUGAGACCAGCUGUUCGUGUCGCUGGAGCCCGACAGGUGAAUAUGCAGCUUGUUUAUCAGAAAAACUGGGUGCUCAGAACCAAAUUCUGUUGUUGCAGAUGCAGGAAUAUAGAAAACUCAGGCCAGGCUGCAGAACACCCGUGUCUGUCUCUAGCUCAGCCCCUGGCCUGC